UCUAAACUCGCCGACGAAGACGAACAUCAAUUUUAAUUUUAUGGGUUUAUCUCUUACAAUGGCUUCUAGACUCAUGAACAAAUUUUCAAGUCUAGAAUCAUAUAUUCGCCUCAAAAAUCUGCCACUAACACCGGAUCUUCAUCGGCUGCUCACUGCCUACAAAGCGUAAGUAUGAUCUAUCAUUCUAUCUGAUUGGGGUCUCUGCAGGUGUGGUCCUUGCAAAGUGAUUGCUCCCAAAUACAAAGAGCUAUCUGAGAAGUACCACGAUAUGGUGUUUCUUAAGCUUGACUGCAACCAAGACAACAAGGGAUUUGGGUAACUCAAACUUUUCUGGACAUCUUGCGGCCGAGCUUGGAAAGAUAGAACAUUUGCAAUAUCUCGAGCUCUACAAGAACAACAUCCAAGGAACUUUACCUUCUCACCUUGGAAACCUGUAGAACCUCAUCAGCUUGGAUCAACAGUCACUGU